ensembl:snoRNA
UUGCUGUGAUGGUACCCUAAACUGUGGUUUCCAUUUGCUGAGAAUUGAAUGAGGACAUUAAAUUUUUGUUUCUGAGCAU